ACGAACGCUGGCGGCGUGCUUAACACAUGCAAGUCGAACGGUGAAGCGCCUUCCUUUUUGGUGGGUGUGGAUGAGUGGCGAACGGGUGAGUAACACGUGAGUAACCUGCCCCCUUCUUCUGGAUAACCGCAUGAAAGUGUGGCUAAUACGGGAUAUUCUGGGUCUGUCGCAUGAUGGGUCUGGGAAAGAUAUUGUUUCGGUGGGGGAUGGGCUCGCGGCCUAUCAGCUUGUUGGGGGGGUGAUGGCCUACCAAGGCGGUGACGGGUAGCCGGCCUGAGAGGGUGGACGGUCACACUGGGACUGAGACACGGCCCAGACUCCUACGGGAGGCAGCAGUGGGGAAUAUUGCACAAUGGGCGCAAGCCUGAUGCAGCGACGCCGCGUGAGGGAUGGAGGCCUUCGGGUUGUGAACCUCUUUCGCCAGUGAAGCAGGCCUGCCUCGUUUGUGGGUGGGUUGACGGUAGCUGGAUAAGAAGCGCCGGCUAACUACGUG
rnacentral:rRNA from 1 species